ACCCCUUUCCCAGACAAGGGACGUAAGAGGAGAAGGAGAGCCAGGAGGCCACUCUUUAUUGCUUUUUUUCUCAGGCUUCUGCUUUGUGUGAUCAGGGAAGGGAUCCCACAUAUGGGAAUGGUUAAUGGAUUUUGGGACUCUCUAGGAGCCCCUGUUUUAAGAAGGAGGCCAAAUGUGCAGGCCCAGGCCAAGCAGCAGAGAUGAAUGAGGUGAUGACCACAGCCUUGAUCCGGCAGGAGCUCAGAGAUGUCCGGGAAGACGGGGGGCCCGAAUGGAAGCAGAAAAACAUUUAUGGCCGCUGGGAAGUUGGGAGAGCCAGGCUGGGGCUCCGGCAGGCCCAGGGAAAGUUCCCUUUCUAGGCUCUUUAUUAAAAAAUUUAAAAGGAGGAGUUGAGGCGCCUUGAAUUUUCCUUCGCGAGUUUGGAGACCAGCCGAUUUUUCAUGAAGCAAGCAAAGACCGCGGUCCCGGAUCCUGCAACAUAUACUUCAUUUUCUCCAGGCCUCUCCACUUGCCCAAGCUCUCAGCCACCAAGAGACAGAUGGAAGGGGCUUCUGGGCUGUGUUGGGAGCGGGCAUUGUCCCCUACCCACUCCUGCACAGUUUCCCAAAGUCCAGCCACCUCCGACUCUCCUUGGGGGAAAAAAUACCAGUACCCAGACACCUCUGCACCCUGUUAUAUGACUGGGCUUGCUUCAGGAAUAUCUU
rnacentral:lncRNA from 1 species